AUGCAAAUAUUUCCUCGGGCCAGACGAAAAUUGAUCCUCAAGUGCAAAGGCAGAAGGGAGCUUGACUGCAAGAUCCACUUGUCAAGUAGGGAUGAAAGUCGGCCUUAGUGAUCUGACGAUGCUGAGUGGAAGGGCCAUCACUCAAU
rfam:Picea glauca, whole genome shotgun sequence.